rnacentral:rRNA from 1 species
ACGCUCGACACCUACGGGAGACAGCAGUGGGGAAUAUUGGGCAAUGGAGGCAACUCUGACCCAGCAACGCCGCGUGAAUGAUGAAGGUCUUCGGAUUGUAAAGUUCUGUGACGGGGGACGAACACAAUGACGGUACCCCGAUAGCAAGCCACGGCUAACUACGUGCCAGCAGCCGCGGUAAUCUGAGCGGGCUGGCAAGGC